rnacentral:pre_miRNA from 1 species
GUCCCACGCAGCCAUGAGUUUUCAUGUCCAAUUUCGAUCGUUCAUCGUAUUUAAAUUUUGUAUGAUUAAUAUUUUUAUUGUUAUUAGAUGAUAAAACAUGAAUAGUAUGCGUGAAUUAUGUUUUUAUUUUUUUAAAAAAAAUAAAAUAAGACAUAUAUAAUUAAAGUUGGAUAAAAAUUUAUGAAUACGUUUAAA